rnacentral:rRNA from 1 species
AGAGCUUGCUCUCGGGUGACGAGUGGCGGACGGGUGAGUAAUGUCUGGGAAACUGCCCGAUGGAGGGGGAUAACUACUGGAAACGGUAGCUAAUACCGCAUAACGUCGCAAGACCAAAGAGGGGGACCUUCGGGCCUCUUGCCAUCGGAUGUGCCCAGAUGGGAUUAGCUUGUAGGUGAGGUAACGGCUCACCUAGGCGACGAUCCCUAGCUGGUCUGAGAGGAUGACCAGCCACACUGGAACUGAGACACGGUCCAGACUCCUACGGGAGGCAGCAGUGGGGAAUAUUGCACAAUGGGCGCAAGCCUGAUGCAGCCAUGCCGCGUGUAUGAAGAAGGCCUUCGGGUUGAAAGUACUUUCAGCGGGGAGGAAGGGAGUGAGGUUAAUAACCUCAUUCAUUGACGUUACCCGCAGAAGAAGCACCGGCUAACUCCGUGCCAGCAGCCGCGGUAAUACGGAGGGUGCAAGCGUUAAUCGGAAUUACUGGGCGUAAAGCGCACGCAGGCGGUCUGUCAAGUCGGAUGUGAAAUCCCCGGGCUCAACCUGGGAACUGCAUUCGAACUGGCAGGCUGGAGUCUUGUAGAGGGAGGUAGAAUUCCAGGUGUAGCGGUGAAUGCGUAGAGAUCUGGAGGAAUACCGGUGGCGAAGCGGCCCCUGGACAAAGACUGACGCUCAGGUGCGAAAGCGUGGGAGCAACAGGAUUACAUACCUGGUAGUCCACGCUGUAAAGAUGU